CACAGGUGAUGCCGUAUCUAAUAGGUGCUUCUGACCGUGCUAUGUUAUGCAAAGAAGGACUACCUAAUUAAUGCACAAUGAGACAUUUUAUAAAAGAAAUCUAAUACUUACUUGAAAACACUUUAGAAUAAUGUGAAGGUGGAUGUGAGGCCAAAACACGAUCCCUAGAAACUUUCUAUUUUAAGUUUCAAAAUUCAUUUUCUAAGCAGAAGGCAGACUUUCAUAGGGACUCAGCUUCACCUUUACACACAGAAUUGGGAAAUACUCCUCACCUUUACCAGCCUGACAAGCAUAAUCUGUUGCCAGGUUCCUGUAACGCAGAAAAUUGGUACAUGGGACCUAGAUGUCAGGAAGGGCCCAAAGAAACCACUUACCCAUUCCUGGAAUAAGGGCACUCCAGGAAAGCUCACUAUACUGUAUUCAAACACUACAUCAAACCUGAAGUUGUUUCAUCUUCAAAUCAGAGCAGAAAUCAAAGAAAAUAGGACUAGAGCCAAUGGAGACACCAUCUACAUCAGAAGCAUCAGGAAAUGCAUUAGAGAUAUGUUAUUCACCC
rnacentral:lncRNA from 1 species